UACGUAGGGUGCAAGCGUUGUCCGGAAUUAUUGGGCGUAAAGAGCUCGUAGGCGGCUUGUCGCGUCGGCUGUGAAAACCUGGGGCUCAACCCCGGGCCUGCAGCCGAUACGGGCAAGCUAGAAUUCGGUAGGGGAGACUGGAAUUCCUGGUGUAGCGGUGAAAUGCGUAGAUAUCAGGAGGAACACCGGUGGUGUAGACGGCUCUCUGGACCGUAACUGACGCUGAGACACGAAAGCGUGGGUAGCAAACAGG
rnacentral:rRNA from 1 species